rnacentral:rRNA from 1 species
AUUGAACGCUGGCGGCAGGCUUAACACAUGCAAGUCGAGCGGUAACAGAGAGAAGCUUGCUUCUCUGCUGACGAGCGGCGGACGGGUGAGUAAUGCCUAGGAAUCUGCCUAGUAGUGGGGGAUAACUUGCCGAAAGGUAAGCUAAUACCGCAUACGUCCUACGGGAGAAAGGAGGGGACCUUCGGGCCUUUCGCUAUUAGAUGAGCCUAGGUCGGAUUAGUUAGUUGGUGAGGUAAUGGCUCACCAAGACCGCGAUCCGUAGCUGGUCUGGGAGGAUGAUCAGUCACACUGGAACUGAGACACGGUCCAGACUCCUACGGGAGGCAGCAGUGGGGAAUAUUGGACAAUGGGGGGAACCCUGAUCCAGCCAUGCCGCGUGUGUGAAGAAGGUCUUAGGAUUGUAGAGCACUUUAAGUUGGGAGGAAGAGCAGUUAACUAAUAUUUGACUGUUUUGACGUUACCGACAGAAUAAGCACCGGCUAACUUCGUGCCAGCCGCCGCAGUAA